rnacentral:rRNA from 1 species
AUUGAACGCUGGCGGCAUGCCUUACACAUGCAAGUCGAACGGCAGCACGGGUGCUUGCACCUGGUGGCGAGUGGCGAACGGGUGAGUAAUACAUCGGAACAUGUCCUGUAGUGGGGGAUAGCCCGGCGAAAGCCGGAUUAAUACCGCAUACGAUCCACGGAUGAAAGCGGGGGACCUUCGGGCCUCGCGCUAUAGGGUUGGCCGAUGGCUGAUUAGCUAGUUGGUGGGGUAAAGGCCUACCAAGGCGACGAUCAGUAGCUGGUCUGAGAGGACGACCAGCCACACUGGGACUGAGACACGGCCCAGACUCCUACGGGAGGCAGCAGUGGGGAAUUUUGGACAAUGGGCGAAAGCCUGAUCCAGCAAUGCCGCGUGUGUGAAGAAGGCCUUCGGGUUGUAAAGCACUUUUGUCCGGAAAGAACUCCUUGGCUCUAAUACAGUCGGGGGAUGACGGUACCGGAAGAAUAAGCACCGGCUAACUACGUG